rnacentral:rRNA from 1 species
UCGAGAAUCUUCGGCAAUGGGCGCAAGCCUGACCGAGCGACGCCGCGUGCGGGAUGAAGGCCUUCGGGUUGUAAACCGCUGUCAGAGGGGAUGAAAUGCGGGAGGGUUCUCCCUCCCGUUUGACAAAGCCUCAGAGGAAGGACGGGCUAAGUUCGUGCCAGCAGCCGCGGUAAGACGAACCGUCCAAACGUUAUUCGGAAUCACUGGGCUUAAAGGGUGCGUAGGCGGCGCGGAAAGUUGGGUGUGAAAUCCCUCGGCUCAACCGAGGAACUGCGCCCAAAACUACCGUGCUUGAGGGAGAUAGAGGUGAGCGGAACUUAGGGUGGAGCGGUGAAAUGCGUUGAUAUCCUAAGGAACACCGGUGGCGAAAGCGGCUCACUGGAUCUCUUCUGACGCUGAGGCACGAAAGCUAGGGUAGCGAACGGGAUUAGAUACCCCCGUAGUCC